GAACCGUAUAAAACAACCUUCCUUAGCCCUGAGUUCUCCAUCCAUCCAACCGAUUUGACUUGUCUUCAUUUGCUCUUCUGUCUGUGAUCAGGAAAGAAUUACGAUGCCUUGCCAUUGUGGCAACUGCUGCUCUUCAUGCUGUGGAAGCAGCCCCAACAUGAUUGUUUGUGCUCCUGGAAAAUCAUACCAUGUUUCUCCGUCGUGUUGUUGUGCCCCCUGUUGUGCCCCCUGUUGUACCAGCUGCUGUUGUCCCCCCAAAAUGGCCUGCCCCAGCCCCAUGCAGUACUGCUGCCCACCGGCGAUGAAAUGCCAGCCACCUGCGCAGUUCACACAAUGUUGCUGUCCUCCUAAGAAAUGCUGUUAGAAAGACUCCGGAGAACCGAAGCUCAACUUUUAGAGGUCCUGUUCGCUCCAUCUUGCUGAGAAACGAUGCUCAAAGCUAAGCCUGGUCCACCAUCUUCCCAUCUUCUUCUUCUUUCUGGUGCAGAGAUCCUGCUUGCUUAACACCUGAUCACCCAUUUGUGAAGGUGGUGUGGCUUUCUCCACAGGAGAAGGGUCACCAUCCUUGGGAUGUAAUGAGAUACUCGAUGUCUUGUUCUUCAACUGCUUGGGCUCUGUGGCCUACUGUUUAAUUCUACUGUCCCUCAAGGGGGUAAUAAACCUUGCAAGCACGAA